rnacentral:rRNA from 1 species
GUAGGGAAUUUUCCACAAUGGGCGAAAGCCUGAUGGAGCAACGCCGCGUGCAGGAUGAAGGCCUUCGGGUUGUAAACUGCUUUUAUGAGUGAUGAUUUUAGACAGUAGCUCAAGAAUAAGGGUCGGCUAACUACGUGCCAGCAGCCGCGGUCAUACGUAGGACCCAAGCGUUAUCCGGAAUUACUGGGCGUAAAGAGUUGCGUAGGCGGCUUGUUAAGCAAGGUGUGAAAGCGUGAGGCUCAACCUCAUAAACAUACUUUGAACUGGCAAGCUAGAGAGUGAGAGAGGUUACUGGAAUUCCAAGUGUAGGAGUGAAAUCCGUAGAUAUUUGGAGGAACACCGAUGGCGUAGGCAGGUAACUGGCUCAUUUCUGACGCUCAGGCACGAAAGCGUGGGGAGCAAACGGGAUUAGAAACCCGGGUAGUCC